rnacentral:rRNA from 2 species
ACCUGAUCCCAUUCCGAACUCAGAAGUGAAACGCAGCUGCGACGAUGGUAGUGUGGCAUUCGCCAUGCGAGAGUAGUACACCGCCAGGC